rnacentral:rRNA from 1 species
AUUGAACGCUGGCGGCAUGCCUUACACAUGCAAGUCGAACGGCAGCACGGGUGCUUGCACCUGGUGGCGAGUGGCGAACGGGUGAGUAAUACAUCGGAACAUGUCCUGUAGUGGGGGAUAGCCCGGCGAAAGCCGGAUUAAUACCGCAUACGAUCCACGGAUGAAAGCGGGGGACCUUCGGGCCUCGCGCUAUAGGGUUGGCCGAUGGCUGAUUAGCUAGUUGGUGGGGUAAAGGCCUACCAAGGCGACGAUCAGUAGCUGGUCUGAGAGGACGACCAGCCACACUGGGACUGAGACACGGCCCAGACUCCUACGGGAGGCAGCAGUGGGGAAUUUUGGACAAUGGGCGAAAGCCUGAUCCAGCAAGGCCGCGUGUGUGAAGAAGGCCUUCGGGUUGUAAAGCACUUUUGUCCGGAAAGAAAUCCUUGACCCUAAUACAGUCGGGGGAUGACGGUACCGGAAGAAUAAGCACCGGCUAACUACGUG